rnacentral:rRNA from 1 species
UACGUAGGGUGCGAGCGUUGUCCGGAAUUAUUGGGCGUAAAGAGCUCGUAGGCGGUGUGUCGCGUCGGCCGUGAAAACCUGCAGCUUAACUGUGGGCUUGCGGUCGAUACGGGCAUCACUGGAGUUCGGCAGGGGGAGACUGGAAUUCCUGGUGUAGCGGUGAAAUGCGCAGAUAUCAGGAGGAACACCGGUGGCGAAGGCGGGUCUCUGGGCCGAAUACUGACGCUGAGGAGCGAAAGCGUGGGGAGCGAACAGG